rnacentral:hammerhead_ribozyme from 1 species
AUCCAACUGAAGAGUCUCAAAUAGGACGAAACGCGCGUCAAACUGCAU